UGUUACUCUUGCUGAGGAAUGCUGUGCCGGCAGUGCUGACAGCCCAGCAUAGCAUCCCCAAACAGCUGCCAGGCGUGAGGCGAUGGAGAAUUCGCUGCUGCCAUGAGCCUGCACAAAGCAGGCAUUGUGCCUUGCUGCAGCCACCUGCUGGGUGAGCGUCUUUCUGCCUCUCUCUGUGCUUUCUGUAGGCAUCAGGUUUCCAUUUUUGAGUGCCGCUUGCUCACGUGGAGGGAGCAUACGGGCUGUGACCAGCUACAGCUUGUUCUGUGAGUGCAGCAUAGCAGCACCCAGAGCUCUUCCUCCCUCCCUCAUAGGGGAGAGAGAGCUUUGCUGUACAAGCAGCUUAUUUUGCUGGCUAAUGCUGCCUGUUGUGCUGCUACUCAGAAGGUUUGUUUGGGGUGUGAUAGAGGGUAGAGAGAGAGAUCACAGGAGAUGUACCAGCACUGCAGCGCCUGUUUGCUCCAGGGUGAGAGGACCAAAAACCGGGAUUUGGGACCCUGAGAUGUGCUGAGUGCUGUGCCCCCAAGUGCUGCACAGUCAGCACCGCCCGUUAAUGCCAAGUAUUUCUCUGGAGGAGGCUGAAAUCCCCUUUGCUGCCAUUGGGGGGCGGCCUCACCCAGCCAGAGAGAGGAAUGCUCGAAGGGUUCAGCUCAUCCUGGGGCACGACUGGAGGUCAGUGUGAAGGUGAGAGAAAAGCUGCUCCUGGGUCAGAAGAAUGUCUGUCCCGGUGAUUCUUUGUGGCUGUGCAAAAGGGCCUGGGAUGGUGUUGGUGUGGAAGGCCUGUGCUUGCUGUGUGGAACAAACCCGGCUUUGGGCUGCUGCAUUGGAGCUGGCCAUGUCCCCCUGCACUUCUGUCACUUUGGUGUCAUAACAGUUGCAACAAAGAAAUAGAAACAUUAUUAUGGCCCAGUGGGCAGUUGCCACAACCCAGCCAGGCUUCUGUUGCUACAAGAAGAAAACAACUGGAAUCCCCUGUAGAACCGCCCUCAGCUGCCUUGCGGCUGGUUGUCCUGGUACCCCUGGCAGCAGGUCCUGACCCAGGCAGCUUUGGGGAUGUGCUCACCUGGGCAUGCAGGGACAGCAGCUGCGUGUCCCCAGCAUGAGGCCAUGAUUGCUGCCAGGGUCUGGGGUGCAGGGAGGGUCUGUGAUGGGCCACCCCAAAAGAUGGCGUGUCCCCAAGGGACAAGCACUGAGAGCAAUGGCUGUCCUGGCACAGCAGCUAUGCUUGUGUGAUGCUCACAAAAUGCCGCUGCACAGGUCACAGAGAAACCAGACGGUCCCUCUGUUAAGCACCAUAAGUUUCACUCAGCCAGCACCUCCUGGGUUCCUCAGCCCUUUCCUCAUAUUGCCUGAAGGGGAGAGAGUGCACAAGAAGGAUGGAAACCUAAAUUUGUUCUGCUUUGUGCUUUGCAUUGCUGAGGAGAAAUCCGAAAGUUUUAGUUUCAAUUCCAGCCUGUUCCUUUUUUUUGAUAUAAAGAAGUGGCUCUUGUCCAGCAGUGACUGCUUGUGCCCUCUCUCACAUGUGGGUGUGGAAUGACAAACUCCUUCCUUUACCAGCUGGGACUUGAAAAGGGGACUGUGCCUGGGCACCUUCCUUUUUAGGAUGACUUGGUGGUGCCUCAAAAGAUGUGUGAUGUGGACCAGAAGAAUCCGUAGGACUGUAGGUGCAAUCAUGGGGUGGCUGUGUUACAGCACUGGCCAUGUGCAAGCACCAUGGGCCACCUGCACGUUGCUGAGGCUGCAGCUGCAGUGUGUGGCAUCCCAGGGACCCCACAGCCCACGCUAAUGUAUUUGUGACACACAAAGUACUGCUUUGUCUGAAGCUUUCAAAGCCACGGGCUGUGCCCUGCUGCCCCAGCGCUGCAGCUGGGUGGGAGGUGAUGGUUGUCAGAGCUGCAGAGGGGGUAGCUCUGUGCUGCUUUGCACUGCACAAGUGAGGAGCAGAGCUGGCACCUCCCUCAGGCAGUGGGAAAUGUGCUGUGGAGUGAGGAUGGGGCAGUGGGAGAUCAGAUCCUGCCAUGGCAGAAGGAGGCUUUGCAGAGCUCAGGCUGAUAAGAACUCUGCAACCAGGUUUCCAAGGGCCAGUGUGAAUUGCUGAAUGGUGGGGCUCAGAACUCCAGACGCCAGACAAUGGAAAGGCUGGAAAGAUAAAGGAGAGGAAAUUCUUCUGCUGUAUUGCCUUUCCUAUGGCGAUAAGAUAACACAAAGUGAAACAAGUGGUGGGCACCACAGCUGCUCCCUGGAACAGCAGGAAGAUGUCUGCUGGGGCCCCUGCGGUGCCUGGCGGGUGGUCCUGGGGCAACGUGAGUGGGGUCUGCUCAGAAAACUGUGAGUUUUGAGAAGAGGAUGUGAUGGGUUUGGUGCUGUUGGAGCAGCAUUACUGUGUCUCAGAGCACAGAGACAGGCAGGUCUGACAUGGGUCUGGCUGGAGGCACACUCGGAGGUGGCCCAGAUUAGCUGCGGAAAUCAUUGUGGGAUAUUUUGGGCAGCAGAGCUCAGAUGAAUGAUAUGGAGACUGAAAGAAGCUGGGGCUGCCACCUCUGGCUUGGGAAGUCCCAGGGCUGUGCUGCAGGGAGCAGAAGGGGGGGUGAAAGGAGGUCACUGUGCUGCCAUCUCUGCUUUGUCCGCACAGCUCCUGCUCUGGCUGUGGCCUGGCCCAGGUUUGCCAGGACGAGGUGGACCCUCAUAUGCUUCAGUGGCUGCUUUUGUGUCCCACUGUUAUAAAUCAACUGUUAUAAAUCAACCUUUGGAUAGUGGCUGUGCUUGGUGGGGCAGGGCCAGGUCCCCUCUUGUGGAUGUUUCCAAGGAACCUUGUCAUCAUUCUGGCAAGAAAUACUUGUUUCAGGUGGGAUCUUAGGAAAAAUUUCUUCUCAGAAAGACUGGUGGUGCACUGACACAGGCUGCCAGGGAGGUGGUGGAGUCACCAUCCCUGGAGGUGUUCAAGAACUGUGGAUAUGUGGGAAUAGGGAACAUGGGCUGAUGGUUGGAAUUAAUCUCAGUGCUCUUUUCCAACCUUAAUGAUUCUGUGCUCUGUGCAUAGCUCCCACAUCCUCACUGAAGCUGGGUGCUGUGCAGGAGCAUCCCCACGCAGUGGAGCAGCUUGCAGUGGAGGUAGGAGCACCAUGGUGAGCACCAUAGCCAGUGCGGUGGUGGGUGAUGAGUGCAACAUAGCAGGAGUAUGGCCAUUGCCAUAAUGAAGAAGGGCCAGAAGGACGAAUUGAUUCCAAGACCAGUGGGAGCAGCCCCAAGGCUGGGAAUGGCAUGCAUCUUCUCCCAAGUGGCUGCUUCAUGCCUGGCUAUAGGUCAAUACAGGGGCCCCAUCCCCUGUGGUGAAGUCAUGCCUUUGAUGUGCUGUGAGGCUGCCCCGUGCCGCUCUGCAGCAUUGUUGGGCAGGAUCUGAGCAGCCAUUGUGUGAGGCAAAACAAACCCUUCCUAUCGUGUCAAAGGCUCAUGGGGUGGCCCUGCUUCCAGCUGCCGGCUGAAGCACCAGCGCAGCCCUGCCAAAGCCCGCUGAUAACAAUCUCCUCUUGCAAAAGGGUUCAAGUCCCCACUCUGGUGGGUGAUGUCACCUUAUCAGCGCUCAGGGCUGAUGAUAAAGGGAUCAAUCCAAGCACAGCCACCUCCCCACCGCAGCGCCGGCUGCAAACACAAUGCACGGGGCCCUGCGUGCUCCUUCCCAGCAGGAGGGUCGUGCAGCCUGGGCCCCGCGCAGCACCGGGAUGGGAACAAUAGUGGCCGUGGCAGUGCUGGAGGGUGGGCGACUCCUGAGAAUCAUGUGUGUACCCUAACUGCAGCAGAGGCAAUUUGUCAAAGUCCUAUUUUCCUCUCGCUGAUAAGAUAGGGCUCAUGGAGUACAAUAAUGUCUUCCUGAGAUACAAUUGUGGCUCUUCUACUCAGUGCACGCAGAGGGAAGGCUAAUUUUGGUCUCACUAGGCUGGAGGGGGGGGGGGAUGUGAGAGACCAAGCAGCUCUCCAUGCAGCUGUGCUGCUGCAAGUGAUGAGCAUAGGCCUUUGGCAAGUUCUGCCCCAGCAACUUGAAGAAUGCUUUGCCCCCGCCUUGCUCCAUUACCCCAGCUGCCAAGGCACAGUUGUCUUGUCCCUACCAAGCACAGCACUGGACUGUGCCUGCUGGGAGACACCAAUAUCCCCAGCCUCCCUGCUGGUGCUCUAACACUACAGCUGCACAAAGAGCUGGUGCAAGUAGCUUUGUGGUCAUGCAGAAGGUGUGGUGCUGCUUGGGGAUGCAGCACUGCCCAGCACCUGCAGCUGUGCCAUCAACUCAGUGCCAUCUCAGCUGCUGAGGAACAAGCAUUAAAAGGCACAGCUGGCAAAAUCUGACCCCACCCCCCCGGGAUCUGGGCCUUUAAAAUAAGAAUGGAGAGAGUGCUGUGAGGAAUUGGAAUGGGGUAUUUGGUGGGGGCUGGAUCCUGCUUCCCUCAAAGGGCAGCGUGUAGCACUGCCUCCCAGCAGCACAGCCCUCUGGCAGAGCUGACGUUUCCAUUUUGGCAAACUGCUUGGGAUGCACUUUCUCCGCAGCUUGAAAUCUGAGCAUAAUGCUAUCUUCACAAACCAUAUUCACCAGCCUGAUAAUGUGACACAACAGAAGGUCAGUGGAAAAGCUAAUAUAACUUAUUGGCUGAUUUUAAAAAAAAUCUAAUCAUCUGUUUUUCCUUUUUCCUGACCCCACCACCACCCGCACCCAGCGCCCUGCUGACAUUUUCCAGCUAUUCCCAAAACAAUGGUGAGGGUGGGAAUGCUGCGAGCAGGCAGAGCUGUGAAGAGUUUUCCUGUGAGGCUGCUGCUGCAUCUUGCUGCUCUGGGAUGGUGCAGGCUGUGCUUGAGCCAAGGACACUGGCAUGGGCAAGGACAAAGAUGGCACCAGGUUUCAAGGACAGAUUCUCUGGAAACAAGGCCCUUUGGGUGAGCUCUCCAUCAGCACAUGCCACACUGCAUCUCGGCAGGGAGAAAACCUGGAGCAGUGUGUAGGUGGGUGCACACCUUUGCACAUGUAUGUGUGUGGUGGGAAGUGCUGUCACGCAAGCUCUGCUCUUGCACGUUCCUCCCUAGCCACUGUGAGCAUGCUUCCACUUGCUUGCCCAAGUGCAUGGGGUUGAAAACCACAGGGAGCAGCUGCUUCACCCCACUGCUGUUCUCAAGCCACUUGUCUCCUCCUGCCCUGAGGCCUGUGCUGUCUGCACAGCCCUUGCUAUGUCUGGAGCAAUUGAGCAGCCUGAUGGUUGUCAGGGCAUGACCUAUCCUGAGGACUCAGGUGAGCUUGCCUCAUCAGGGUGAGGCUGCAAAGACUCAUUUCUAAAGCUAAUACUUUACAGAUGCAAGAGAAAGGACUUCAGGGGGCAAAGGAGGACAGAAGGGAUCUGGAGGCUACUUAUUCAGCAAGAACUGUUGCUUGGAAGUGGAGGUUUUGGGGUUGCUGCUGAGCCCUGGGAGGAAGAGCACCAGGAGGCUGCCUUCUGGCUUAGGCAAGGAAAGAGAGUUCAGGGGCUUUCUGUUGGGCUGCAGUGAAUCCCUCUCACUUGAGUGCUUGGCAAGGAAAGGGGCUGCAUCCCAGCUUGGCUAGGAAGUGCUUCCCCAUCUUAUAGAUAGGCAAAGCUGAGGCAUGGGAGCAGAGCUGGAGGCAGAAGGUGGGCUCGUGCUCCCAGCUAACAGCUUGCCCUGGUGUUUUCUGAGCUCCUCUCCUUCUGCUCUGCUCUGACAGGGCUUAACUUAAGGUUGGAUGGGGAAUUUAGUCUGGCUAAAGCCACAACAAAUCUUAGCUGGUGAGAUGAGCUGGUGUGCUUUUGUAGUUAGAGCUUAAUUACUGCUAAUGCAAGAACACUGCCUUCUUGCCAGAGGCUUGCUUUCAUCCCUGCUCAGACAUCACACAUCUACUGUUGGCAGAAGCAUGGAAAUGCCGUGAGUAUCCCACAGGCAAGAAUUCCUCAUCCUGCAGCUGAAGGGCUGUGGCGUGGUGCCUUAAAUCUUCCUUCCCUCUUCAGAAGCAUGUCAGAAACUUCUGGGUACCACAGGGAUAAAGUCAUGCUGGUGUGACUUGAGAGAGUUAUUUGUGCUGGAGAUGGGGCUUUGUCCUGCACUUUAAAGUACUGUCACUGGGCUGUGCCUCCUCCCUAUGCGAAGUCCACAUGUGUUAUGCAGUGCCUGGUGCUGGCUGUGUCACAGCCCUGCCCAGCGCAGCCAUUUUCCCUGAUACCGCAGCUGGCCUUUGGAGCUGGGUGGGCCUUGCAGCAAGGGUGUGUGCAAAGAAGGGCUGUGAGGCUGUCAGGUCCCACCCAGAAGAGGCCUCAGGUGGGAGUAGUAGGAGAUGAUGAGAAUAUGUUGUAGGAAAGCUAUCAUAAGAACAGUGGGUUGUGUGGACAGUCAGGGUGCUGUUUUGGAUCAUAGUUAUAUGGCCAGCUUGAGUGCACCCUGGGCAGCCUCAGCUGAUGGAGGACAGCCAGCCCAUGGCAGCUGUAAGGACUGGAUAGGCUUGAAGGUCCUUCCAACCAAAGCCAUGCAAUGAUUCUGUGCACUUGUCCAAGUCUUGUGGUCCUCUCUGGGCCAGGUUCUAUCAGAAGCAGGCAUGGGUGUGUGUAUGUCCAUGGCUGCAGUAGCUUCUCCAUAACCAAUGUAGAAGGACAGAAUGUGAAUGCAAGUGUUGCACGUGCUGUCUGGUCAUUCCUUAAGAAAAGUAAUCAAAGCCAGGGUGGUGUUUUUAUUUUUCAGUGCAAUAGUGGAACUUUGCUAUGAUAAAUAUGUCUUGGAAACCGGGAAUGCAAACUACACUUGUUCAAAGACUUUUUUCCAGCGUUGCAUAUCUAAAGCUGUUCAUCAGAGAAGAGUCUUUGCUGGACUGAGUGUAACAAGGAUUGCAUUCUUGUUCCAUGCUGAGGAUAUGAAAGCAAGACACUGAUCUUUGUAGAUCUUGAAGAAUGUGCCAGUGGUAUUUCAGUAAUCUAAUGCUCUGCAGCCUGUGAAGGCUGCACAGUAACUGAAAGGAAAUAUCUUUGUUUUUAUUCACUUGGCUUUAUUCCUAAUUCAUUCUUUGAUGCCAUCAGCUUGGGAUAAUACAUUUUUAGAGAUAUGCUUGAAAUUAAGGAAAUGAGUCUGAUUAUCAAAGUCCUCUAAGCAUAUUUUCAGGGAGAAAUGUACAACAAUAGAGGUAUUAAAAGCCCCAUUUUCAAGCAAUUCUAAUAAAAUAAAAACAUCGUGCUGCUAGAUGGUGAGGUCCAUUAGCAUUGUGUGCAUUCUCCGACCUGAGAGGAUAUCUGCUUUUCCAGUUGAGAAAGCUGCUUGAUAGUGUGUGCUGUCUGGGCAGAGGCAGACUCAUUUAACUGUAUCUUCACUUGCAGCCAAAUAAUAAAUGCAUGAAAACUUACCUCUUUAGGCAAAAGUGAUGGUUUCUCAACUCUUGUGUUUGAGAUUUGCCUGCAUUCUAUUUAUUUGUUUGUUUAUUAUGGUAUAUCUGUGUUGGCUUGGGUUUUACUGGGAUACUUAGUGAAGUCAGUAGCUGUACCGGUUCCUACCUGAGCAGUAAGCUAGAAGCAGGCACAGUCUCCUUGCUGCUUUGCAUGGCAGUCAUGGGGCUAGCAACAGGAAUGGGAAAGCAUGAUAUUUAUUCUAUCUACUGUAAAUGUGAGUAUUUCAGAUCUUGCUCCCAUAAAUGAGCAAUGAAUUCCCCUUUCAGUGCAACUGCUGGUAAAGACAUGUCUUACUAAAUAUGCUGCUGUUGUAAUGAAAAUAUCUAGCAAAAUAAUUUAAAAACAAGAAGUGAAUGUCUGGAAGAAGGAGAAAAGAGAUAUGGUGACAUGAGAAAAGAAAGGCUUCAGCUGUGACAAUCUUGGGCACUGCGUACAAUCUGCUCUGUAAGUUGUUUCACAAGCUCCUCUGGCAGAGAAGUGAUAAUAAAUUGUUUAACGACUUGGACUUGCCAGAGUAGUUUAAGAAGCUUUAAAAGGAGACAUUUAAAGGCUUGUGGCUGUGUAUGACUCAUCUAGAACAGUAAAACUGCAAUUGCAGAUUGCUCACCACCAUUUCACAGGGCACUCUGUACAGCUGGCUGUGCCCUCAGGAGCUCAGGCACUUGGCUCAGGAGCCCCUGUUCCAUCCAGGUGCCAGUAAUAUGUGGGAGCACCCAGUGUGUGGCCCCAAUGCCAGUGCUCUUGCCAGACCUGCUGGCAGUGAGCCCCAGCCUGCAAGCAGCUGAGGUCAGGAAAAGCAGAGGUACGAAAGGUAGGAAGAGACUUUCCUUGCUGGGAAAGUCAAACAAAUGGGGCUGGAUCCAGCCCGUGUCCCACAGGAGUCCCUGUGGUCAUCCCUGGGGAGGACUGGGUGGCACAGUGCUAGCAGAGGUGUGUUUGUGGCUUUGAGGGCCAGAUGUGGCCAGCUGUGUGCCUGUGCAUUACAGAGGUGGGCCUCUGAACCUACUCUGAGAUAAGGCUCGUAUUUAUACAGGCCUACCAGAAAAAGCAGGGUGGAACACGCUAAUAUAUACACAUUAAGGAGACCGAAUAAAUAAACAGUAGGUUUUGAUUUAUUUUCUCUGCUACUUGGAGAUCUUAGUUUUGGCACAAGAUGGAUUUUGUACACAAAUGUGAUCUCCAGUUAGGCUUUUGUGUUUGCUGAUUUAGAAAUCAUGUACAAAGGAGAAAAGCCUUGCAAAGGUUCUUAAAGCAAAAAGAUUUUUGUGCUAUGUACUGCAGAAGCACAUACAGUCCUUGGCUCUGGCAGCUAGGAACUAUGCAGCAGGUAACACAGACGUUCUCUGCCCUCAAGAAUCUACAGCUGAAGAUGAGAGAUAACAGUGGAAAAACAUACAAAAUACAGUUAGGCAGUUUGAGAAAGGGCACUUGCUAAAUGCUGCCUACCUGAUUGGCAUCAUUCAGCACAUCUGUGCCUCCAAGGGGAAAGUGCAGGGUCACAAAGGAGUGCAAACCUGCUGUACUAGGAAAAGGCUGUGGAAGGGAGCACUCAGUGUCACACACAAAAAUUGUUCUACUCAAAGGAAGUCAUAAAGGAGUCGGUGACACCCAACUUUAUUGGGACCUGUGCUCAGUUCAGAUCCACUGGAGAGUACAUUCAGGUGGAAUAUAUAUGGCUGUGAAAUCAAAAUAUUCCUGGGAAGCCUGUAAAGAAAUGCUGCCUUGAUUUGAGCAGGCAGUCAGAGCUACUUCUGUCCUCCAGCCCCAAGCUGCUGCUCUGUUCCCACAUCUUUUAAUUACACUGGCUGUAAACGGCUGUAACAUUUCCAAAAGCAGCGACAGAACUGGAGUGUGUGCCCUGGCUCAGUUCCUUGUUAACAAAUCUCACAAAGGAGAACUGAACAGGGGAAAAAACCUGCUAUUUAUUUAUUAUUUCCACCAGGUUGAAGACCUGAUGCUUUAAAAGUACCGAACAGAGGGAUUUCUUGCCAGAACUUAGUCAAGAAGUGGUCUGAGUGUGCUGAGAUGCAACGGCAGCUGUGCAAUAGUUUUAAGGACGAAUGAAAAGCACUGGCUAAUAACCAUCUUUAAAACUAGAGCUAGAGAUCUUGCAAGCAGAACUAGGGGAAUAACUGUUGAUUCCUUAUCCUGGAACAGUAUCUGCUACGUCCCAGGGGUCAUGAUCCUGCACGGUGAAUCACCUCAACUCACUGGGCCAAGAGAAAACUACUCCUCUUCUACAUUAUAUUGGCACAGCUUCCUGUUGGCUCACCUUGCUGCCUGACUCAUGGAUGUGUGAUUACUGGAGCUGAUGCCUGGGAAGAGCUGUGAGCAUGCAGCUGGGGCAAUGGUGGUUGUGCACUCAGCCUGUUCCCCUUCCUGUACCCACUGCAGUUCCUUGUGGUAGGAUUUAACCCUGACCAAUUCCCUUCAUCUGGGAGGGGGCAGAACUAUUAGAAAGAAAACAUUAUUUGUUAAUAAAUACCAUGUUAUGGCUUACAGACACCUGAAUGGCU